GUGCCAGCAGCCGCGGUAAUACGGAGAGGGCUAGCGUUAUUCGGAAUUAUUGGGCGUAAAGGGCGCGUAGGCUGGUUAAUAAGUUAAAAGUGAAAUCCCGAGGCUUAACCUUGGAAUUGCUUUUAAAACUAUUAAUCUAGAGAUUGAAAGAGGAUAGAGGAAUUCCUGAUGUAGAGGUAAAAUUCGUAAAUAUUAGGAGGAACACCAGUGGCGAAGGCGUCUAUCUGGUUCAAAUCUGACGCUGAAGCGCGAAGGCGUGGGGAGCAAACAGGAUUAGAUACCCUGGUAGUCCACGCUGUAAACGAUGAAUGUUAAAUAUGGGGAGUUUACUUUCUGUAUUACAGCUAACGCGUUAAACAUUCCGCCUGGGGACUACGGUCGCAAGAUUAAAACUUAAAUGAAUUGACGG
rnacentral:rRNA from 1 species